UCUGUGCCCAUAUGCAUUGUCGGAGAAACUAAAAAACUUACUCAUUCUCAAAUUGCAUUGUGGAAUAUGCAUCCAUUAUUCAAAGAAAGGGCGACAUUCCAAGCACUCACACUUUCUCUCCUUGCUAGCUAAAUUGGUUGACAAGCUAAAGAAGUCAGUGGAGGAUGAAAUUCAUUUUCUCAAGGGAAGGGUUUCAAAACUUGAAAGUGAUCUUGUGUCGAAGUCCACAGAAGUUUCAUCUGUAGUUUCAAGGAAAGAAGAAGCUCUAUCUUCUGUAUUUGCUGAAAUUGACCGUCUGAAGGAAGAAAAUUCUGUAAAAACGUGAGCAUUAUUGAAUGCAUAUGGAGGGUGUUUACUGUGUU